GGUAGCGUGGCCGAGCGGUCUAAGGCGCUGGAUUUAGGCUCCAGUCUCUGCGGGGACGUGGGUUUCGAAUCCCAGCGCUGCCA
rfam:Loxodonta africana unplaced genomic scaffold scaffold_143, whole genome shotgun sequence.